GAUGAACGCUAGCGAUAGGCCUAACACAUGCAAGUCGAGGGGCAUCACAAAGAGUAGCAAUACUUUUGGUGGCGACCGGCGGAUGGGUGAGUAACACGUAUGCAACCUACCUUCUACAUUGGGAUAACCCGUUGAAAGACGGACUAAUACCGAAUAAUACAGGGGCGCCACAUGGUGAUAUUUGUUAAAGUUUCGAGCAAUCGAUUCGGUAGAAGAUGGGCAUGCGUAUGAUUAGCUAGUUGGUGAGGUAACGGCUCACCAAGGCAACGAUCAUUAGGGGUUCUGAGAGGAAGGUCCCCCACACUGGUACUGAGACACGGACCAGACUCCUACGGGAGGCAGCAGUGAGGAAUAUUGGUCAAUGGGCGCGAGCCUGAACCAGCCAAGUCGCGUGAAGGAAGACUGUCCUAUGGAUUGUAAACUUCUUUUGUACAGGAAUAAAGUGUUCUACGUGUAGGAUUUUGCAUGUACUGUACGAAUAAGGAUCGGCUAACU
rnacentral:rRNA from 1 species